CGACACGACAGGAUGCGUGAGGUUUCGUCGCCUCCGAAGGACAGCAGCGGCCGCAGCCCCCCCUUCCCCCCCAUUCACUGCGUUCCCCUCUUUGAGUCCGCCCCGAGGGGAGGGGGUGUGGGAAAAAGGGGCGGAGCCUCCGCCCGCGCGGGAGAGAUCUCUCAGCCAAUCGAAGAGAAGGAGCGGUUCCCACGGUUCCAUUGAUGAAAAAAGGCGAAGAGGGACCUUUCCUUGGAAGCCCUCCCCGGCGGGGGGGGGGGCUGUUAAACUUGGGGGGGGGCUCAGUGUGAGAGAGGGAGGGUCCCAAAGGGGAUCAGUGUGAUUGGGGGGUGGGGGUCCCAAAAG
ensembl:lncRNA